UCAUGUGUACCAAGGACGUGA
rnacentral:misc_RNA from 1 species